rnacentral:rRNA from 1 species
GACGUAGGGUGCCAGCGUUGUUCGGAAUUACUGGGUGUAAAGGGUUCGUAGGCGGUGCGGCAAGUCGGGUGUGAAAUCUCUGGGCUUAACCCAGAGGCUGCUUCCGAAACUGCUGUGCUUGAGUGUGGGAGAGGCGCGUGGAAUUGCAGGUGUAGCGGUGAAAUGCGUAGAGAUCUGCAGGAACACCCGUGGCGAAAGCGGCGCGCUGGACCAAUACUGACGCUGAGGAACGAAAGCUAGGGGAGCAAACAGG